rnacentral:lncRNA from 1 species
CCGCACCGAGUCGCUGACAUCCGGGCCCCACCCGUCAGGGGUCACCCCUAACCUCCCGCCCGCAUCGCGCGGGAUGCGCCCGCCGCCGUCGAUCCGGUCCCAGCGCGCGUCCCGAGGUUCCCCGCGGUCAGCGGUCUAUAAAGGCUUUUCCCGGCGCGCCGCACCCCUGUCUAACCCUAGGAGGACCAGCCGCGGUCUCUCGUGCCCUAGCCGCCGCCGCCAUAGCUGCCAUCGUCGAGCUUGGAGCCGCCGCCGUCGAUCUCCGUGCUCGCUGCGUCUCGGCCGAGAAGGAGGCCGCCAUGAGGUUCGCUGCAAGGUAAGGAAUUCACCGGACCUUCUCCCGCCCUCUCUCUCUGUUCCUAUCGCGAAGACGAGCUCGCCGUAGUUCCAUCGCCGGCGUCGAGCCGCCCCUCCGCGCAGCCCGUCCUUCCCAGCCUCUCCCUCGCGCGGCAAGCACGCGCAUCACGCUCGCCUUGGCGUGCGCAGCACGUUGGUGCCCUCAGCACACCUCGCCUCGCCCUGCAGCACCGCUCCAGCGAGCUCCGCAUCCGCGGCCAUGGCCGCCGCCGCGGCCAGGCGCCCCCCACCUUACCGCGCUCUCGCCCGAUCCCAGCCGCGACCAGUGGGCUCCUCCACGCUGCAGCUGCGUGCCGCGCCGUGCACGAGGCGGCCAAGGUUCUGCCGAGCCUUUCCUUCCCACGCGAAGCACCAACAGAGCCCCGGUUUCGUCCGUACGGAAGCUCAAGGUAGAAGAAGACAUAUUUACAAGUUUGCCACUCGUCAUUAAUCCUUCACCAUUUAAUCGUUCUAACUCUGUUUCAUUCCGUUUCAAUUGCGUUAGUUUCGUAACGUCGCGCUCUACGCAGUAGUACUAACUUUUAUUAUGUCAUAUUUUUUUUUCAUAUUUAAUUGAAUAUUAGAUUAAUAAAUAUAUGCACCUAAUUUUAUAAUUAAAAGCAAUAUAGAGUUAUAAUCAUGUUUUCUAUUGUUUUAUGACCAUGGCAACGUAAAUGACUUAUUAGCGAUACUGUUUUCCAUGUCCCAUAUUUAUAAAUAUAAUUAGUUUAAUUAAUUUUUUUUUUGAGUGUCAUUUUUUAAUUAAAAAAACAAUUUAGGUUUACACUUCGGUAUUUUUAUAAUCUAAUAUUAACUUGAUUGAAGUUAACUUAAAUAUUUAUUAAUUAUAAUUCUUUUAGUUAGACAUAAAGUAUAUAAUUAAUUUGUUUAAUAUUUAUUUAAUGUCUUUUUGAUUAAAAGUAACCUAUGUUUAUAAUUUAGAUCUUUUAUAAAUAAAUAAAUGUUAACAUUAUUAAUAUCAACUUAAAUGGUUCUUUAUUAGUUAUAACUUGUUUAAUAUACAUGCGACGCAUGUUAGGAUUUGAUUAGCUGCUCUUACUUGCUUUAUGUUUUCUAAAAUUACAAAGGCGUAAAUGGCUUAAAUGAUAUAUAACCAUCUACAAUUAAAAUAUGACUAAAGUUUAACUCCACCUUUUAUAAUUCUUUAUAAUUUGGUCAAUUCAACUUUGAGAUAUUUCUCUAAAAGUCUAUCACCUUCUUUUAUUAAAUAAAAUACGACCAGCGUAUAGUCGUCUUCUCCGUUACACUCCGAACCUCGAAAGUCGUGUCCGUUUAACGAUAGCUCCGUUCUCAAUCGUUCUUGCGUUGUCACGAUCGUAGCAAUAAGUCGUGUCGUUUAGUGCGCUCUUUCUAAGCUUUUCUUUUGAUUGAUGCUUGUUCUUAGUCAUGAUUGUUUGUUUGUCUGUUUGUGUUGCUUGGUUGCUACGAGUAGAAGAAGCGUGGUUCGUCAGCAUUGAAGAUCAGGCGCUGAGGACCGAUAAUCGAAGCAGAAGUUGGAGAUCAGAAGAAAGAAGCCAAAGAAUUCUGAGCAGAUAAACACUGGGAAUUAAGGCAAGUGCAGACACCCUUUGAUCAUAUUGUACCUAUAAACUUUAAAUACAUUUACUUUCCAUUGCAUGUGUCUUAAUACUGCAAACCCUAAGGACAUGACUAGUCUUCUACUAUAUUUUUUGUAUACCUGGGUUUAUAUAUGGGUAGUAUAGUGAACAGUAGAUAUGCUUAGUUGCUCUACUCAUCUAAUCUAUAUAAUAAUAAUAAUAAUGAUCUUGCUUAAUGAAUUCUUCAAUGAUGAUAAAUGAUUAAAUGGUGAACAAUGGUCACUUCGGUGAUGGAGAUGUUGCGGUGCUUGCGAGCAUCGUGGUUUGGUUGAGGAUAGGGGGAGCGGGUACUGUUGGUGGUCCGGUUUGCCGGGCGUACCCGUCUCUGCUCUCCGUAAGGACUUAGUCAGGGAGCGGCCCCCUGGGACUUACAGUGCAGCUCCAAGCUAUAUGGCUUUGGCUUGACUAAUUAUCAGGACCUCCGCUGGUAGGGUGUUACUUUCCGGGUAGGCGUAAGGAAUGUAGCUUGGGUAUUCAUAUUAAGAGGUCGGUCAGUUCGGGGUCCCAUUGCUAUGGGCACGGCUGCCGCGCGCCCCGGCAAAAACUUACGAGUGGCAUCCUAUUAGUUGGACCCUGUGAAAGGUCUCGUAGUGAAACCCUGCCUGCUCACCUUGGUAGUGUUUUGGGGAGUCGCGACCCCGGGCGAAUGGGAAUCACGACUUGGAGUGAACGUGCACACCUCUGCAGAGUGUAAAACUGAUAUAUCAGCCGUGCUCACGGUCACGAGCGGCCCAGACCCUCACUUGAUGAGCAAAUUGGAAUCACAUGGAACUUGGAGGCGGAACUUGGUUGAGGUUGCUACCUCGUGCUUUGGCGGAAUGGCUAUUCCGUGUUGGCAGGAUGGCUAUCCUGUGUUCUUAAUUGGGAUUGCUAUCUCUUGACCUUAAAGGGGUUGCUACCCCGAGUUACUAUCCGAGGUUGCUACCUCGGUGAUCUUAAUAAUAAUAGUAAUUAUAAUGAUGACUAAUAAUAUUGCUAAUUAACCUUCAUCUAAAUAAGGGUUGGGAUGCUCUACUCACAAAUAGUAAUAGGUUGUUUAAUAAUAAAGUUGUAAUAAAAGUUUACCAACUAAAAAGCUCACCUGCAGUCAAACAGUGUCAACUUUUCCUUUGAUUAAGCCUUGCAUGUCAUUAUACUUUCCGCCUGUACUUGUUGAGUUCGACAUGAACUCACCCUUGCUAUUUCCUCCACACCCCAGUGUGUAGUAAAGUGUUGCUCAGAAGAAGGACAUAGAUGCUAUGGAGUUUUCUAGAAGCUUAUCAGAAGUGCUUGGCGUACGGAGCCCCCAGUCAACCGUCCCUGAGAAGAUUGGAGCCUAAGAAGUUUAGCUACUGUUUCCGCGUACUCUGAUGAUUGUAAGUGUUAAUAUAAAUAUGUUUUCCGC